GAUGAACGCUGGCGGCGUGCCUAAUACAUGCAAGUCGAGCGAACGGACGAGAAGCUUGCUUCUCUGAUGUUAGCGGCGGACGGGUGAGUAACACGUGGAUAACCUACCUAUAAGACUGGGAUAACUUCGGGAAACCGGAGCUAAUACCGGAUGAUAUUUUGAACCGCAUGGUUCAAAGGUGAAAGACGGUCUUGCUGUCACUUAUAGAUGGAUCCGCGCUGCAUUAGCUAGUUGGUAAGGUAACGGCUUACCAAGGCAACGAUGCAUAGCCGACCUGAGAGGGUGACCGGCCACACUGGAACUGAGACACGGUCCAGACUCCUACGGGAGGCAGCAGUAGGGAAUCUUCCGCAAUGGGCGAAAGCCUGACGGAGCAACGCCGCGUGAGUGAUGAAGGUCUUCGGAUCGUAAAACUCUGUUAUUAGGGAAGAACAUAUGUGUAAGUAACUGUGCACAUCUUGACGGUACCUAAUCAGAAAGCCACGGCUAACUACGUG
rnacentral:rRNA from 1 species